UAAGAACGGCCAUGCACCACCACCCACAGAAUCAAGAAAGAGCGAUCAAUCUGUCAAGCCUUACUAUGUCUGGACCUGGUGAGUUUCCCCGUGUUGAGUCAAAUUAAGCCGCAGGCUCCACUCCUGGUGGCGCCCUUCCGUCAAUUCCUUUAAGUUUCAGUCUUGCGACCAUACUCCCCCUGGAACCCAAAGACUUUGAUUUCGCAAAAAUGCCGAAGGAAUCAACAUGCAACCGCCUCCAAUUUCUUGGUAGCGUAGUUUAUGGUUAAGACUAGGACGGUAUCUAAUCGUCUUCGAUCCCCUAACUUUCGUUCUUGAUUAAAGCAGACAUCAUUGGCAAAUGCAUUCGCAUUAGUUUGUCUUUAACAAAUCCAAGAAUUUCACCUCUGACAGUUAAAUACAAAUGCCCCCAACCAUCCCCAUCAA
rnacentral:rRNA from 1 species